GGAUGGAUUAAGUGUUUGUAAUCUCUCAAUAAUCAACUGUAAGUGAUCACAUAAUAAUUGACUUUAAGUGUUUCAUUUUGCGCUCCCCCCCCCCCCCUCCAAAUUAUACUCUUGACCAUGUAACCCCAAAUUUGGUAUUAUAUUUUAAAAAUCAAUAUAAAUAUAUUAUUAAAUGAAUUGGCAAGCUUGGAUUGAGGAUUUUAGGAAGAAAGACAAAUAUCUAUAUGAAUAUGAUCAGAUGAAUUGGCAAGCUUGAGUUAGGUUCAGAACGAACGAAAAAUAGACAAUGGAAUGAUCAUAUGGAAUUUGCAGGCCCGGCUGAAGAGGGGAGUUGUUGAGGAAUUAUGGUAUUAUUCUCAUGCCUAGGACGUGUUGGAUAAUAUGCCCACGAAGGAACGUGCAUCCCACCUGAUGUGUUGCAUCAGCUCUAUGAUUUGCCAAGCAAAAGCAAUCAAUCAACAAGGUCAGUUUGUGAAUGUUUGUCCUACACGAGUCAUAGCUAGUGAACACAUUUUGAGAUUCCUUCACUAAAUAUGUAUUGUUUUGAUUCAAUAUAGUGAGCACAAGCCCAGUGUUUAUUUAAUCAAUUACAAUUAGUUUUUCUAGCUACUAACUUUUUUGCAAUUUUCUAAAUAAAAAUAUACGUGACAGAAUCUGAUUAUUUAUUGUUGAAUGAACGAUGUGGUAGAACAAAGGAAUUGUAGAAUUUCUUGAGUUUUAGACAUAAAACAGAGUCAGGCCAUAGAACGCAUGUAUGAAGAAAUUAUCAUCUUCCGAUGAUUGAAAAUUAUCAUCACAUUUAUAGUAAUGAUGCUGUGCUUUAUUCAAAAUUAUUUCUUCCAAUAGAGAAGCAAUCAAUAAUGGUAUUAAUUCUUGAACCAGUGGAAAGCAAUUAAUUUUCUUCAUUUGUUUUCUUGCUUGGCUGUGAAACAGCCCAUUUGCGGCUGAACACAGAAUCUGUUUUUUGUUUCUUUGUUGUUUUUUGUGAAUAUUUGGCUUAAUUUACAAUUCAUGGCAUGUCUGAAAAUGGGUCGAUGAAUCUGUUAAAAUAUGGACUCAGAUCUAAAUCAGAUUUAUCCAUGAUACAAUCAAGAGGUGUUAAGAGUGCAAUUUAUGCACUAGUUUUGCAUUGUUUACUUCCCUUAAUAUCGAUAUUUUGCACUUAAUAAUAGUGAUUUACUUGUGUUUUACUUUUGUAGGUACAAUUCUAUUGAUUGGUGAUAAAAUUGAGCUACAAGAUGAUGUUUAAGGAUGAUUGUUCUCUUGGAGAAAUUAUGAGCGUCAGAAGAACUUUGUUGAUAAGGCGUGGGCGCGUGCUGUCAACUACGGACCUGUAGUUUUUAGUUUAACGUGUUUUGUAAUUUUGGUUAUUUUUGUAAUUACGAAUUUAAUAUUUCAGAUAUUAGUAUUUUAUUUUAAAUAGAAUUCUAGAGGAGAAGAGAGAGAGAGAGUAUUUAAGGGAGGAAUCUAUUGUGAAAAAGAGGGACUUUUGGGGAGAAAAGGGAGAAACCCUAGAUCUAAAUUUUUCUCUUCUCUCUAUGAAGAACUAAACCUAUUAUUCUGGUUGAAGGUUAAUGAAGCUUUGAUUCAUCACUACUGUGAGAUCUUUCUUAUGCUUUAACUGCUUUAUUAUUUUUUGGGUAUUUUUUUAUUCUCUGAAUUAUUAUCAUGAUUAUGCUUGUUAAUUAGAUAAUUGGCCACUAUUUAAUUAUCAACUUAAUCUAUUGUCAAUUAAAGGAUUCAUCGUAUGAAGAUUUUAAUGUUUGUGACAAAUAACAUAGCAGAGAGUUGUGUUGUGAGAAUAAACAAUCUAAUUUAAAUGAACCAUCGUAUGUGUUUGUAGAUUAGGAUUUGGGUCUCUCUGGUUUUUCAGGCUUUCAAUUAAUUAAAUCCUAUGAUCGUAUCUAGGGUUGUCUAUUGAUUAGGGAAAUAACCAACGGUCGUACCUUGGUUAUCGACUAGUUAAGGAGAGAUUGGCUAUUAGAGGGUCUCAGUAGCUAUAAUCAGUCUAUUCAUAAGUAGUAAUAAUUUAUAUUUGAAUCAAUGAUCAGUAGUCGAAUUAAGCUGAGUUAAUUCCUUCAACCAGAGCUUUCUCCAAUUUGAAUUACAACUUUAAUUUGCAUUCUUGUUAUUUUAAUUUGAUUUUUAUUAUUGUCAACAAUUCCCCCAUUUUAUGUUUCACAUUUUAAAAGGAUUUAAAUAAUUACCGAUCUCUGUGGACACGACCCUGCUCAAUCACUAUACACAAUUUAUUUAGAGUAUGUAUUUAUUUUUGCUGGCUUCAACAACCAUCAAAGUUUGGCGCUGUUGCCGGGGAUUGGUGUCAUUUAUUUAAUCCUUUUUACGUUUUACUUGGUGUAUGGUUCGUUCUUCUCGUACAGGUACACUUUCGUUUGAUCCUGAAAUUGAGAAGACAGCUUGCCAGCUGAGACAGCGGAUGAAGCGAGCUAAGCAACGAUCCUCAUCGCCUUUGCUUUCUGAAAUAGAUACGGUGCCUGAUUUAGUUGAAUCAUCUAGCGAUUCAAAAGAAAAAGUGAUGGAUAGAGCUGCACAUGUAGAAAGAACUCUUAGAGAGUUAGCUAAACCAGACUUGAAUUAGCAACCACUCUGCAUUCAAUAUGUAGACUUGGAGGUAAAUUUUGAAUUAAAGUCUGGUCUUAUUCAUUUAUUACCCAAGUUUCAUGGUUUUGUAGGUGAAGAUCCUCAUAAACAUCUCAAGGAGUUUCAUGUUGUGUGUUCAAGUAUGAGGCCACAACAUGGAAUUAGAUGGACUAGCUAAAGACUGGUUGUACUACUUGCCUCCUGGAUCGAUUACAACAUGGAAUGGUUUGGAGAAGCAGUUCCUUGAGAAAUACUUUCCUGCUUCAAGAGCUGCCAACAUCAGAAAAGACAUUUGUGGGAUCAGACAACUUCCUGGGGAGACUUUAUAUGAGUAUUGGGAGCGAUUUAAACAAUUGUGUGCCAGCUGUCCUCAACAUCAGAUUUCUGAUCAACUUCUUAUUCAAUAUUUUUAUGAAGGACUAUCAUUAAUGGAUAGGAGUAUGAUAGAUGCUGCUAGUGGAGGCGUGUUGGUGAACAAGACCCCUACUCAAGCAAGGGAGUUGAUCUCAAAUAUGGCUGCCAAUGCACAACAAUUUGGCAGUAGGCAAGAUUCCACUUCAAAAACGGUGAAUGAGGUAAAUAUUUCUUCUGUUGAACAACGUUUAGAUAAACUUACUUCUCUUGUGGAAAAGUUUGUUGUAGGUAAUGUGCAACAAGUGAAGACUUGUGGCAUUUGUUACAAUAUGGGUCAUUCAACUGAUAUGUGUCCUACACUUCAAGAAAAACCCGUUGAACAAGCAAUGCAGUUGGAGGAUUUCCAGGCAUGCCUCAGAGGAGGUUUUCUUCACAAUCUGAGGUGAAUCCAAAGUAAACAUUAGUGCUGUCAUCCUUAGAAGUGGGAAGGAGUUGCAAGAGCCUAGUGAGAAAGUGACAAAGCAUGUAGAAGAUGAGCUUGAAAAGAAUGAAUUGAUGCCUAAAUCUCAAGAUGCGCAACCCACCAAAGCAAAACCCCUACCUAUUGUGAUACCUCCUCCUUUUCCAAGCCGGUUUGCAAAAUCCAAGAAGGAGGAACAAGAGAAAGACAUCCUUGAGACAUUUCGCAAGGUUGAGGUAAACAUUCCUUUAUUAGAUGCUAUAAAACAAAUACCUCGAUAUACUAAAGUCCUUAAGGAACUGUGCACCUCCAAGAGAAAAUUAAGAGGAGAUGAAAAAGUUCACAUGGGGGAGAAUGUUUCAGCAGUUCUCCAAAAGAAACUACUUCAUAAGUGUAAGGAUCCAGGUAUGUUUACUAUCCCUUGUAAAAUUGGUAGUGUUAGAGUUGAAAAGGCUAUGUUAGAUCUAAGAGCUUCUAUUAAUGUCAUGCCUCGUUCCAUUUAUUCAUCUUUGAAUGUUGGUCCAUUAAAAGAAACUGGCGUGAUAAUUCAACUAACUGAUAGGUCUAAUGCAUAUCCUGAUGGAGUAUUAGAAGAUGUCUUAGUAUAAGUUAAUGAGUUGGUUUUUCCUGUCUUUUUUUAUGUAUUUGAUAUGGAAGAGGAUGACUCCUCUAAUUCUGUCCCAAUUUUGCUAGGAAGACCAUUUCUUAAGACUGCUAAGACUAAAAUGGAUGUACAUAAAGGGACUCUCACUAUGGAGUUUGAUGGAGAGGUUAUAGAAUUCAAUAUGAAUGAUGCCAUGAAAUAUCCUAGUGAGGAACAUUCGGUAUUUUCUGUGGAUGUUAUUAACCCUAUAGUGCAGGAAGUUUUUUAUAAGGAAAAAACGAAGACAUUUCAUGAUAGAAUGAUUUUGAGAAAGGAGUUCUCUGUUGGUCAAAAAGUUCUUCUUUUUCAUUCUAAGCUUAAACUUUUUCCGGGUAAAUUACGUUCUUGCUGGGUUGGACCUUUUAUUGUUACUAAUGUUUUUCCUCAUGGUGCAGUUGAGAUUCGGAGUCCGACCUCUGACAAAGUUUUUAAGGUUAAUGAUCAUCGCUUAAAACCUUUUUAUGAAGGUUUUUGAUGUAGCUGAAGUUUAAUGUUCAAAAUAUUCCGUUGAUUCUAGAGAAUACCGAAAUAAAAGAACAACUAAAUUCACGUUGAUUCAAAAGAAUACCGCGAACUUAGGGAUUUAAGACUCGUUGAUUCCGCAGAAUACCGAGAAUUAACUGUUCAAAUACUCACAAAGAGAUUUGAAAAUUGAAAUAUUAUUGAACUCAAAAUUAUGCCUGUAAAAACUACAAAACACACUUAUUUAUACUAAGUAAGACUUGUCCUAAUAUGAUUAGAAAACCUAUUUUAAUAAGACUUAUACCGAAAUUAGAAAUAUUACCCAAAUAAGCAAUACCUAAACAAUAAGACUCUAAAUAGGAAACCAAAUUAAACUAGAAUACAAAUUAAUUAAAAUAUUCCUAAAUAUUAUACAUUUAACUCUAAUUUGGAUUUCUUCAAUUUCUUGCUCUGCAUCAUUCCCGCCAAGCUGGAGAAAGUUCGUCCUUGAAUUUUGUAUGUUGUAGUCUUCAAGAACAUCUUCAUGUGCACAAGGAUUAAUUUUUAAAACAGAGCUUUGACAUAGACGAUGAACUUUAAAUUUUCCAACUUUUGUAAUAACGUCCAUCCAAUCACUCCAAUAGCGUAAAAUAAAUUCUUCUAUCAACAACUUCUCCAAUAAUGUCUUCUCGUAUUGUUCGUAUCGAACAUCAACAUAGUUGAGGAAAAACGAUUUCUUCUCAUAAUCCAUUAAUUGUUGAAAAAUAUCACAACUUUUUUUGUCUUCUUUUGGCAAAUCAAGAGAACAAUAAGAGAUUGUAUCAACAACUAUCUCUCUUUCCUCCACAAGAUCAAAAGAUGGAUGAACAAUUACCUCUUCUCGUCCCACAAUAUCAAGAUACUCAUCAAAUUUCGGCAAUUGAUCCAAAUCAAUGUCUUUGUGUUGAGAAUUUGUUGUAGACAUGAAUGGCCAAUUAAUAUUCUCCUCGGAAGGAAUAAUAUUGUCGAGGGAAACCAAGUUACCAUUUUCCUCAUUAUCCUCACAACAAAUAUCAUCAUGAACAACUUCAUCAAAUCCAUAUGCCUGCUUUAUGUGUAAAGAUUUUAUAUCUUGAAGUUUCUCUAAAUCUUGAGAAAUCAAAAGUAAAAUCCUCAACAUUCUAUUUAAAACUUCUUUCAAGACAAAAUCUUCGCGGCGAUGUUGUCGUUUCAUGAAUCAAUUUUUUUCUUCUUUUUUGUUUUCUAUCUCUUUUUUUUUUAAAUAAUGAAGCUAAACAGAAAAAAACAAAAAUGAGAAAAGAAAUGUUUGGUGGUAGAUGGGAUUAGAUAAGUAAUACCAGGUUUUGGCUCUGAUACCAAACUGAUGCAGCAGAAGUUUAAUGUUCAAAAUAUUCCGUUGAUUCUAGAGAAUACCAGAAUAAAAGAACAACUAAAUUCACGUUGAUUCAAAAGAAUACCGCGAACUUAGGGAUUUAAGACUCGUUGAUUCCGCAGAAUACCGAGAAUUAACUGUUCAAAUACUCACAAAGAGAUUUGAAAAUUGAAAUAUUAUUGAACUCAAAAUUAUGCCUGUAAAAGCUACAAAACACACUUAUUUAUACUAAGUAAGACUUAUCCUAAUAUGAUUAGAAAACCUAUUUUAAUAAGACUUAUACCUAAAUUAGAAAUAUUACCCAAAUAAGCAAUACCUAAACAAUAAGACUCUAAAUAGGAAACCAAAUUAAACUAGAAUACAAAUUAAUUAAAAUAUUCCUAAAUAUUAUAUAUUUAGCUCUAAUUUGGAUUUCUUCAAUUUCUUGCUCUACAUAAGUUUUUCAGUGAAUAUUGUGGAGGAUGUGGCUCUCGAGAGUCCCAAUUACGGAGAUUGAUGCAUAAAUGUGUCUAGCCAAAGACAUAAAACAGAGGCGCUUUUUGGGAGGCAACCCAAAUGAUUUAUUUAUUUUGGUUUUUGUUAUAUCUUCUUUUAAUUUUGAUUCAGAUUUUUUUUAAAAAAUAAUGUGUUUGCUUAUUUUGGCCAGAAGAAAAUUUUUGAUAAGGCGUGCCCACGUCUUAACUAAUAAGUACUUCUGUGAUUUUUAAAGUAAAAUGGUUUUAAGGCGUGCCCACGUGCUUAUUAGAAAAGUACUUCUGAAAUUUUUUUUGUGUCUUAAAGUGAUUCAUCAUUAAAAAAAAAAAUAUUUAUUUAUUUGAAAAUGAAAAAAAUGAAAAAAAAGGUUUUUUUCCUUUCUUUUCUUUCUUAUAUAUAUAUAUAUAUUUGAAAAAAAAACAAAAAAAAUUACUGUUUACAAAAUCCCUAAUUCACAGAAUUGGUUUUCUUCUCCAGCCUUCACCGAGCAGCCACGCAGCACCAGCAAUCCACCAUCGCGCACCAGCCCACGCAGCAGCAGCAGCAGCCGUGAGCGCAACCAGCACCAUCUCGCGCGCUCGCAGAUCCAGCCUUCACCGAGCAGCCACGCAGCAACCCACACUCGCAGAUCCAGCCUUUACCUAGCAGCACGCAGAACCAGCAUCAGCCCAGCUCUCGUGUGCAAUCAACCCUAGCGCACAGAUCCAGCAGCCCGCGCGCGCAGCAGAAUCAGUCCCAGCCCGCACACGCAACGCAACUAGCGUCACUAGCGCAGCAGAACCAGGCCCAGCAGCGCGCAUCAGAAUCAGGCCCAGCGCACAGCAUCCCGCACGCAACCAGCAUCACCAGCUCACAACCAGCAAUCCACCAUCGCGCCAAACUCCAACUGAGCAGCAAUCGUCCGCAACCAACCUACGCCCUGUAUUCCAACCAGGUGAAUCGAAAUUCGUGAGUGAAAUUAUUGUAACAAUGCCAAAGAGGAAAGCAUCAACUUCCAAGUCAUCUAAAAAGACACCUGGCGCAAAGAAAUCCAAGAUUGCCGCUCCCACUACGGUUCCAUGGAACACAGUUUCAAAUUCACGCCAAGCCGUGAGACAAAGAUCGAAACAUGGAAAAGGCAUGAGUGUUUUGCCACUUGCGGAAUCCAAUCUCGGAGGGUGCCUCGCAUUCACGACUCAACAAGAGAAAGAAAGGUAUAAAGAUAUUUCCAAGCGAAAAAUACUUCCAGCUAAGUAUAUUCAUUACCCGACUCUUGAAAAAUUGAAUAUUAAGGAUAAUUUUGAUUCUUUGAUAGAUAAGAUUGGUUUGCGUAAGUUUGUUGAUGUUGAUUGUUUGGGUUAUGUUGAGUUGAUUAGGGAGUUCUAUGCUACUUUUCAAUUUAAUAUACCGAAUGAUUUUACUUUGCAUAUCCCGGAUGUUAUAAAGUUUAGGUUAAUGGAACGAAAUUUUUCACACUCUAUCACGAAUUUUAACCUAGCUUUAGGAUUCAUUGAUGAUGAUUAUUCUUCUAGUGAUGCAUAUUUAGGAACAACUUGUGACUUUAGCGAAAAUUUUGAGCCUUAUGGUCUUUGGCGUAAUUUAUUUGUUGAUCACAAUGCCUAUGACCCGAGUAAAUCAAAGAGUUCUUUCUUACGUGAUCCUGUUUUGAAAUACGUGCAUCGAUUCUUGGCAUAUAAUUUUUUAGGAAAGAAAGAUCACUUAGGAGUUGGCUGGUUCGCGCUGCGUUACAGGGGCUGUGUGACGCUGGUUGCUUUGCUGGGGAUUGCGUUGCGCGUGGGACUGAUUGUGCGGGGCGCGCGGGCUGCUGGUUGCAUUACGUUGCGCGCGGCUGCUGCUGCUGCGCGAUGGUGACGACUGGAUUGAUUUGAGCUGCGCGCGGGAGCUGGAGUCGAGGAUCUGCGUUGCAGGGCGUGUUCGUCUACUGCUGCUCGGCUGCGUUGCGUGCGCGGGACUGAUGCGCUACGCCAUGGUGAUGGCUGGGGCUUGCUGCGCGCGGGCUGGUGGUUGCAGGUGGGACUGAUGCGGCUACUGCUGGUGAAAACGAUAAUCAACAGUGAAUUUUUUUUUUUGAAUUAGGGAUUUGUGAACAGUGAUUCCAAUCGUACCUAAAAGCUUAAGCUGUUAGGAGGGGCGCUACUUUAUACUUAAGUAGGUAAUCCGCCUAACACCAGGUAACGCCUUCACGUUAAUGCCACAUCACCCACAUGGAUGUUGGUAGAGUCACCACCGUGGUGGUGCGGGCCCCAGUUACAGUGACUGGGAUAUAUAUAUUAAGCCUAUUCCUCCCCCGCGGCUCGAACCCUGGCUGGCUCUGAUACCAUCUUAAGGCGCUUACCAAUCGUACCUAAAAGCUUAAGCUGUUAGGAGGGGCGCUACUUUAUACUUAAGUAGGCAAUCCGCCCAACACCAGGUAACGCCUUCAAGUUAAUGCCACAUCACCCACAUGGAUGUUGGUAGAGUCACCACCGUGGUGGUGCGGGCCCCAGUUACAGUGACUGGGAUAUAUAUAUUAAGCCCAUUCCUCCCCCGCGGCUCGAACCCUGGCUGGCUCUGAUACCAUCUUAAGGCGCUUACCAAUCGUACCUAAAAGCUUAAGCUGUUAGGAGGGGCGCUACUUUAUACUUAAGUAGGCAAUCCGCCCAACACCAGGUAACGCCUUCACGUUAAUGCCACAUCACCCACAUGGAUGUUGGUAGAGUCACCACCGUGGUGGUGUGGGCCCCAGUUACAAUGACUGGGAUAUAUAUAUUAAGGGCUCAGCAUCAAGCUUUGCAAAAUUUAAGCUUAAGCUUUUAGGUACGAUUGGUAAAAAGUCUUUAAAUGUUUGAAAUGUUGAUCGAUGGUUUGAGAGAAAAUCAAGACAUCAUCAAUAUUUGCCAAAAUCCUGACUUCAUGUCAAAUUUUGAAAAUAUGAAUGCAGAAUGCAGUUUUUGAAGCAAAUCCUUUUUAUUUAUUAUUUUAUAUAUAUAUAUAAAAGAAAGAAAAUAAGGAAAAAAAUAAUUAUUUUUUUUUUAGUGAUGAAUCACUUUUAGACACUAAAAAUUUCAAAAGUACCUUUUUAAUAAGCACGUGGGCACGCCUUAAAACUAUUUUACUUUAAAAAUUUCAGAAGUAUUUAUUAGUUAAGACGUAGGCACGCCUUAUUAAAAAUUUUCUUCUGACCAAAAUAAGCAAACACAUUAUUUAAUUUUUUUUUAUUCGAAUCAAAACUAAAAGAAGAUAAAACAAAAACCAAAAUAAACAAAUCACUUGGGUUGCCUCCCAAAAAGCGCCUUUGUUUUAUGUCUUUGGCUAGACACAUUUAUGCAUCAAUCUCCAUAAAUAGGACUCUCGAGAGCCAUUUCCUCCACAAUAUUCACCGAAAAACCUUCAUAAAAAGGUUUUAAACGAUGACCAUUAACCUUAAAGACUUUAUCAGAGGUUGGACUCCGAAUCUCAACUGCACCAUGAGAAAAAACAUUAGUAACAAUAAAAGGUCCUACCCAACGAGAACGUAAUUUACCAGGAAAAAAUUUAAGUUUAGAAUGAAAAAGAAGAACUUUUUGACUAACAGAGAACUCCUUUCUCAAAAUCAUUCUGUCAUGAAAUGUCUUCGUCUUUUCCUUGUAAAAUCGCGAACUCUCAUAGGAUUCAUUUCUAAUCUCCUCCAACUCUUGCAGCUGCAACUUCCUCUGCUUUCCCGCUUCAUCCAUCCGCAUAUUGCAUUGCUUAACCGCCCAGUAUGCUCUGUGCUCAAGUUCUACAGGUAAAUGACAAGGCUUACCAAAUACUAAACGAUAAGGAGACAUACCUAUGGGAGUUUUGUAAGCGGUGCAAUUCUCCCAUAAUGCAUCAUCUAAUCGCAAACUCCAAUCCUUUUGAUUUGGACUAACUGUCUUUUCAAGAAUAGACUUGAUUUCUCUGUUUGAUAUCUCAGCUUGUCCACUUGUCUGUGGAUGAUAGGCGGUAGACACUUGGUGGGUAACAUGAUAUCUUUUGAACAAAGCUUCCACCACUCGAUUACAGAAAUGAGUGCCUCUAUCACUUAUCAUCGCUCUUGGUACACCAAACCUGGCAAAAAUAUUAGACUUGACAAAAUCUACAACAACUUUAGCAUUGUCAGUCCGGGUGGCCUUAGCCUCUACCCACUUAGAAACGUAAUCCACUGCUAAAAGAAUGUAAGCAUUGCCAAAAGAUGAGGGAAAAUGUCCCAUAAAAUCAAUGCCCCACAUAUCAAAUAUUUCACAUACAAGAAUAGGGGUAAGUGGCAUUUGAUUUCUAUGACUUAAAUUACCAGUCUUUUGACAAUUCUCACACGACUUACAAAACAUGUAUGACAAUCCUCAAGCCGGGAAAGCUUGGAGGCGUGGACGGAGGCGAGGUUGGCCGAACCACGUAAAAAUCUCUAUGUUUGAAUCCCUCUUCCCUUAUCUUUUUAUAUUGUGAUCAACUUAAUUGUUAUUGCUUUGAAUUUGGAUUAUAUUUGCAUUAAGUUUUUCUUUAUAAAUUGAAUAGUUUUUAGAAUCCCAAUUCACCCCCCUCUUGGGUUGCAUACUUGUAUUUCAAUUGGUAUCAGAGCCUUGUUCUCUUGUUAAGACUUAAUCGUCUAGAGUAAAAGAUCCAUGGCAACCCUAAAUGACUCAACCUUUAGAGAAGGGCAAUCUACAACUUGACCACCAUUCUUUGAUGGAAAUGACUAUGCUUAUUGGAAAACUAGAAUGAGAAUCUACUUGCAAGCCUUAGAUUAUGAAAUUUGGGAAGUUGUUUGUGACGGUCCAUUCAUGCCUAUGUUUAAAGAUGAAGUAGGAGAUGAUAUUCCUAAACCAUCAAGUCAAUGGAGUGAGUUAGAAAAGAGAAAAAUGUCUCUAAACUCCAAGGCUAUGAAUCUUUGUUUUGUGCCCUUGAUAAGAAAGAAUUCCAUAGAGUAUCUAGUUGUGAAAGUGCACAAGAGAUAUGGAACAAACUUGAAGUUGUCUAUGAAGGGACAAAUCAAGUAAAAGAGUCUAAAAUCAGUAGAUACACUCGUCAAUAUGAGCUGUUCCAAAUGGAACAAAAUGAAAAUGUGUAUUCUAUGUAUACUAGAUUCACGGACAUAGUGAACACCCUAGGUGCCUUAGGGAAAACCUUCUUAAAUAGUGAGAAAGUUAAGAAAAUCAUUAGGUCACUUCCAAAAGAAUGGAGACCUAAAUGAACCGCCAUUGAAGAGGCCAAAGAUUUAAAUACUUUACCUCUUGAUGAUUUAAUUGGUUCUCUUAUUUCAUAUGAAGAGGAUUUAGCUGCAGAAAAAGGACAUGAGGAGAAGAAGAAAAGCAUUGCUCUCAAAGCUUCAAAAUAUGAGAGUGAUGGGGAAAGUGAACCGGAUGAUGAAGAGCUAGCCAUGCUAGCAAGGAGGUUCAGAAAAUUCUUCAAGAAAACCAGAGAGAGAAGAAAUUUCAGAAACUUCAAGAACUAUAGGGAGAAGAAGGAGGCAAUUACAUGCUAUGAAUGCAAGAAGCCUGGACAUAUAAGAUCGGAGUGCCCACUUAUCAACAAACUUAAGAAGAAAGCAAUGGUUGCAACUUGGGAUAAUAGUGAGGAAGAAUCAAGUGAUGAAGAAGGAUCGCAAGAAGUAUCAAACCUAGCACUCAUGGCAAUAGGAGGGGAUGAUGAUCUCAAUGAGGUAAGUGAUCCUACCUAUGAUGAAUUGUAUGAUGCUUUCAAAGAUUUGCAUAAUGAGUUAAUGAAGAUUGGUAAAAAGAACGUAUGUCUUAAAAAGGAAAUGGUAAAGCUUAAAAAUGAAAAUGAAUCUCUAAAUGCAAGAAUUGUAUGCCUAGAAGUAGGGAACAAAACAUUGCAUGAUGAAAUUGCAUUAUCAAAUGAGAAACCUAGCAUCUUACAUGAGCAUUUAGAAUCACACAUAGAUGAGUUGAAAAAUGAGAACGAAAUGCUCAAGAAAAAGAGUAAUGAAUUGAAUGAAAUUGUUUUGAAAUUUACAAAUGGGCAAAAGAUGUUGGAUAAUAUGCUUAACUCACAAAAAUGUGUUUUUGAUAAAGGAGGACUUGGGUAUAAGCCUAAUUUGAAGCAAAAGUAUUAUAAGAAUUAUUUUGUUAAAGCUACCUCCACAAAUGAUCAUAAGAUUGUAUGUUAUUAUUGUAAUCAAAAUGGUCACAUGAAAUAUAGAUGUCCCGUGAAAAGGAAUGCAUAUUAUGGUGUCAAAUGCAUUUGGGUUCCAAAAGGAACUGUUGCUAACUCUCAAGGACCCAAAAAGCUUUGGGUACCUAAAACUUGAGAUUUUUUCUUGUAGGGCUUGAAGAAGAAGAAAAAUAAAUGGUACUUGGACAGCGGUUGUUCAAGGCACAUGACCGGAAACUAUGCAUGGUUCUCAAGCUUCACCAAAAUUGAAAAUGGUGGAGACGUAUCUUUUGGAGACAACUCAAAAGGAAAAAUUCUUGGAAUUGGAAAUGUUGGUAAAGUCUCUUCAACUCUAAUUGAGAAUGUAUGUUUGGUUGAGAACUUGAAACACAACUUAAUUAGCAUUAGUCAAUUAUGUGACAAAGGUUAUAAAGUUAUCUUUGAUAAAUUUAGUUGUGUUAUUGAGAACUCAUGUGAUGGCAAAACCUUGUUUGUUGGUAAUAGAUGUGGUAAUGUUUAUACCAUUGACAUAGAAUGUGCAUCUACUCUUGAUAAAUGUUUUUCCGCAUUACAUGAUGAUAGUUGGCUAUGGCAUAGAAGAUUAGGACAUGCAAGUAUGGAUUUGAUUUUGAAAAUUUCGAAAAAUGAUUUAGUUAAAGGUCUUCCGAAAAUUGGUUUUCAAAAGGAUAAGAUUUGUGAAGCUUGUCAAUUUGGAAAAAAAUCAAAACCUCUUUCAAAAACAAAAACCAUAUCUCUACUUCAAAACCUCUUAAACUUCUUCACAUAGAUCUAUUUGGACCAUCUAGAUAUGCUAGUCUAAAUGGCAAAUAUCAUGCAUUUGUGAUAAUGGAUGAUUAUUCUAGAUAUACAUGGGUAUUAUUCUUAGCCAAUAAGGAUAAUGCUCUUGAUGCUUUUAAAGUGCUUUAUAAGAAAUUACAAAAUGAAAAAGGGUGUGACAUUAUAUGCAUUAGGAGUGAUCAUGGAGGAGAAUUUGAAAAUCAUGCAUUUGAGAACUUUUGCAAUAAUCUUGGCAUUGAGCAUCAAUUUUCAUCACCUAGGACUCCACAACAAAAUGGAGUUGUUGAGAGAAAGAAUAGGUCUAUUCAAGAAAUGGCUAGGACCAUGUUAAAUGAAAAUGCAUUACCUAAAUAUUUUUGGGCCGAAGCCGUCAACACCGCUUGCUAUGUUUUAAAUCGGGUGUUGAUUAGACCUCAUCUCAAUAAAACUCCCUAUGAGCUUUGAAAAGAUAGAAAACCCAACAUUGGCUAUUUCAAAGUUUUUGGAUGCAAAUGUUUUAUUUUAAACACAAAAGAUAAUCUUGGUAAAUUUGAUCCAAAAUCUGAUGUUGGCAUCUUUCUUGGGUAUUCAAACUCAAGUAAAGCUUAUAGAGUUUAUAAUAAAAGAACUUUAGUUGUGGAAGAAUCCAUGCAUGUUACGUUUGAUGAGUCUAAGCCCUUCUCUACGGAGAAAGGAGUUGCUAAUGAUGAUGCAGAUGGAGACUUACAAGAGGAAUCAUCAAAAGAGAUUCAAGAAAAUGCACCAUAAGAAAAUCAAGAGGAUAGACAAGAAGAACAAACCAAUACGGAGCUGGAGCAACAAGAAGGUAUUUCUCAAACACUCCCCAAGGAGUGGAGGUAUGUCUCUUCUCAUCCUAAAGAUGUAAUUUUAGGAGAUCCCUCACGAGGUGUUACAACUAGAUCAUCUCUUAAGAAUACUUGUGAGCAUAAUGCAUUUAUCUCUCAAAUUGAACCCAAAUCCUUUGCGGAUGCGGAAAAUGAUGAAUCUUGGAUUAUGGCAAUGCAAGAGGAGUUAAAUCAAUUUGAAAGAAACAAUGUGUGGGAAUUAGUUCCUAAACCGAAACAUCAAUCUGUCAUAGGCACUAAAUGGGUAUUUAGAAAUAAGAUAGAUGAAUCCGGGUUGGUUGUAAGAAAUAAAGCUAGAUUAGUGGCUCAAGGUUACAACCAAGAAGAAGGAAUUGAUUUUGAUGAAACUUUUGCACCUGUAGUAAGGUUAGAAUCCAUUAGGAUGUUGUUAGCAUAUGCAUGUCAGAAGGAUUUUAUUUUAUAUCAAAUGGAUGUCAAGAGUGCUUUCUUAAAUGGAUAUAUUAUGGAGGAAGUUUAUGUGAAACAACCUCCUGGUUUUGAAAAUGAAAAAUUUCCAAAUCAUGUUUAUAAGUUGCUUAAAGUCUUGUAUGGAUUAAAACAAGCACCUAGAGCAUGGUAUGAUAGACUUAAAAAUUUUUUGCUAGAAAAUGAUUUUUCUAUGGGUAAAGCGGAUACUACUCUAUUUGUUAAGCAUAAGAACCAAGACAUACUUAUUGUUCAAAUUUAUGUUGAUGAUAUUAUUUUUGGUUCUACUAAUGAGUUGUUGUGUAAAGAAUUUUCAUCGUGUAUGAGCAAAGAAUUUGAGAUGAGUAUGAUGGGAGAGUUGAAGUACUUCCUUGGACUUCAAAUCAAACAAAACGAGGAAGAAAUUUUCAUAAAUCAAGCCAAGUACAUAAAAGAUCUACUCAAACGAUUCGGCAUUGAUGACUCAAAGACCAAGAAUACACUAAUGAGCACAACAACCAAGCUGGACAAAGAUGAAAAAGGCAAAGAAGUUGAUAUCAAAAUGUAUCGAGGUAUGAUCGGAUCCCUACUUUAUUUGACUGCAAGUAGACCCGAUAUCAUGUUUAAUGUAUGUUUGUGUGCAAGAUUUCAGUCAUGUCCCAAGGAAUCUCAUUUGCUUGCUGUUAAAAGAAUUUUUCAUUAUUUGAGUGGAACCAUAGAUAUUGGCCUUUGGUAUCCUAGGGGAACUCAUAUAGAUUUAACAUGUUAUUCGGAUGCGGACUUUGCCGGUUAUAAAGUAGAUAGGAAGAGCACUAGUGGUACUUGCUAUAUUCUAGGACACUCUUUUGUUUCAUGGUUUAGCAAGAAACAAAAUUCUGUCGCAUUUUCAACUACCGAGGCUGAAUAUAUAGCUGCCGGAAGUUGUUGUGCACAAGCACUUUGGAUGAAACAAACACUUAGAGAUUAUGGCAUUAAUCUUGAACAAAUUCCUAUUAAGUGUGAUAAUACUAAUGCUAUAAAUCUUUCAAAGAAUCCCAUUCAACACUCUCGAACCAAGCAUAUAGAAAUAAGACAUCAUUUCUUGAGAGAUCAUGUUCAAAAGAGAGACAUUGCAUUAGAGUUUAUUUCUACGGAAAAACAACUUGCCGAUAUUUUUACAAAACCACUUUGUGAAGAACAAUUUUCCAAAAUUCGGCAUGAACUUGGGAUGAUGAAAUUUUCACAUUAACAUCUUCAUUCAUGCUAUUGAGUGUAUUAACAUUGAUUGAUCUAUGACUUGAUGCUUUAAUAUCUAUGAAAUGCUCAAUCGUAAUAUACAUGUGAUGUGUAUGUAUAAUUGAAAAUGUAUGAAUUAAUUUUGCAAUACAUAUAUAUGUUCAUGAAUUAUGCAUUGAAAUGGCACUCAAAUCAUUUUGGAUCAAUAAAAUGAUCUUGAAAUGUAUUAAUAAGUAGCCAAAUAUCAAAAUACAUGUGCAAAAUCAUAAAUUGUAGAAAACGGAUUGUCGUUAUUUCAAUAAACGGCUAACCGUUUUGGGCAGAAACAAUGGAAAGUUUUCUGGGCGCUAUCGGUUCGCCGAUAACUAUCUAUCGGCUCACCCUCCUAAUACAAAAUUUUGAGGAGACUCCCUAGACCCUAUCGGCUCGCCGUUUUGAUGAAAUAUUUUAGAGGACUCUCUGGACUCUGUCGGCUCGCCGUUUUGAUGAAAUAUUUUAGAGGACUCUCUGGACUCUGUCGGCUCGCCGUUUUCUUUAUAACGGCUCGCCGUUAUCACGCGUUAAUUGAACAGUCCUUCGUCUUCCUCCUCAUUUCAGUUUCUCUUUCUCUCUCCCUCUCACUCCAACCCGUGACUGCACCAGUUCUCUCCUCUCAAUUCCAUCACUUUUCUUGUCAUUUUUCACCAAAUUGAAGGAUUACAAAUCAUUUUCAUCAUCUCUAGCAUCUUUUAACCGAUUAAAAUUCUUCUUUUUCUUCAAAAUUUGAAAAAUCUCUUUUUAAAACCCUAGAACCAGCCGAACCUCAUUUGCUCAAAUUUGACCUAAAUUUCUUCCUUUUUCCAACCACAUUUCCACCCACAAUCACUCUCUCAUCUCUCAAACUUCAUUUCCCCCGAUCUAUUUUCCUUCUAACACAUCCAUGGCGGAACGACCACAAAGGCGUGCUCAAACCAAGCACACUGCUCCACGACGUUCUAGUCCACCCAGGUCUCCUCCUCAAGACUUCGAGAGUCUUCAUUUUUCCGAUGCCACCUCUGCUCAGCGAUUUCGUGAGAAAUUCAUGGGUAAACCCGUAACUCCCUCUUUUUCUCUUAACAUUUCGGAGUUUUCGGAUAUUACUGUUUGUGGUCACUCCAUUGCUCAAAUGCUUAGUCAUUGGAAGCAAGCUUUAAGUAUUGAAGAACCAAUUUAUGAAAAUCUAGUUCGAGUCUUUUAUUCUAACAUAGAAUUCCCCUCUACUCGUCGUGACGAGCUUCAUACAUAUGUAGGAGGAAUUCGCAUUGAACUUGAUGAACCCGAAUUAUGUAGUAUUCUAGGAAUAGCUUAUGGAGGUUUAGAUCUGUACACCGCUAGGAAAGAACUAUCUUUUAGUGAUUUUCGUCAUGUGGAUGGUGUACGGAACAUUUGUCGUCGUCGGGAUCUUUCCGAUGACAUCUGCUCUCUGUCCUUUAGGUCUCAACUCCUCCCUUUUCAGAUUCGAAUACUUCACAUUAUUCUCCAACACAUGGUCACUCCUAGACAGGGUCACACUGAUGAGGUCACUAGGCUUGAUACUGGUCUAUUAAAUUCUCUUAUCCGUAGACGCCAUGUGAGCUUAUCCUACACUAUUCUGUGUCAUAUGAUGUCCACUCCUAAAGUCUCCAAUCGAUCUCUUCUUUAUGGCAGCAUCAUUACUAAAAUCUUGAACCACUUUCGAGUUCCUAUCAUCGAGCCUGUUUUUCUCGAGACUCGUAAGCUCGGACGAGAAAUUAUUUCUGCCAUCGGAUUCUUUAAGAAGCGUGGGAAAUGGGAGAAGACCACAUCCUCUAAAAACCCAGAGGAUGAUCGUAUGUUGAAUGAUGUCUACUCCGAGGAUGAGUUACCUGAUUUCUGCCUUGGGGCUAGACCGCAUGUUCCUCGCCGAGCAACAGCUGCAUCUUAGGAUGACGAGCCUACCGAGACUGCCGUCCCUCCUGCAGCAUCGGCUGUUCCUGAGGAUCGCUUCCAGCAGCUUCUCAACAGAGUGGAUACUCUGUCCCAGCAGCAGCAGCUUCGAUAUGAUUUUGCAACCUUUCGGAAGCAAAUUUCAAAUCAGCAGAUGGAGUUACUUGCGGGCCAGCAUCGCAUUCUCGACUACUUUGGAUAUGACCCCGGCAGCUCGUCUUCACAGCCUCCAUCUUAGCUUUUCUGCCCCUCUGAUAUUCGCACAGACAUUUCUCAUUUCAUGUUAUUUGCCUUAUGCAUAUGAUGUUAUUUGUUUUGUGUUUAUGCUUCUGAUAUCUCAUGUUAGACAUGUGCACUUGAUUUAUGUUUGAGUUGGCCUUGGUAUUAUAUUGUUUAUCUUGCUCAUUAUGGAAGUGUGAAAUUGUUGGUAUGGAGAUUGGUUGAUAUGGUGGCAUAUUUAUAUGGAAGUGUUUUUUUCUUUUUAACUCUGUGUAUUGUUGAGGUAAUGCUUAUAUUUAAGGGGAGAUUCGGCCAAAGUUUUUUCAAGCAUAAGUCAUUCCUCAUGCCUCUUUCUUUUUUAUGAUGAAGGGGGAGAUAAUUGGCAUUGGCAUAAAAUUAUUUAUUUCUUCCAAUCAAUCUGUUUUAAACUUGUUUGAGAUUAAAGUUAAAUGAAUUUUUUAAGGGAGAUUAACAAGUCUUUCAAAAUCUCACUUAGGGAGAGCUCAUAUUUAGGGGGAGCAAAAUUACACAAGUAUUUUCUUGAAAAGUUUGUCAUCAUCAAAAAGGGGGAGAUUGCUAACAUAAAUAAUUCCUUAUUGAUUUUGAUGAUAACAAACAUGAUUAAGUUUGAUAAAUCUUUUGAGGACUCAACAUAUUUUUUCAUCUAUUUUUGACAAGUUUCAUAAAGUAUUGUUUAUAAAGAUUUGGAGUCAAAACAGUCAUCUUGCAAAAUAGAUCACUACAGCAAUUUUUGUGGAAAGCGGCGAUCCGAUAUGUGUAAUAAACAGCUCACCGAUUUCAAGCAGAAAUGGAGAUUAGCCUCUGGACGUAAACGGCACACCGACAUGUGUGAUAAACGGCUCGCCGAUAUCAACCAGUAGCCUCUGGACCUAAACGGCGAACCGAUAUGUUGCUAAACGGCUCGCUGAUAUCAACCAAAACUAAAGGGUAGUCUCUGGACCUAAACGGCGAACCGACAUGUGUGAUAAACAGCUCGCCGAUAUCAACCAGUAGCCUCUGGACCUAAACGGCGAUCUGACAAUUUGAAAAAUCAGCCCAACGGUCAUAUUGAUCAGUCAAACGGCGAUCCGACAUCUAGCUAACGGCGAUCCGUCCGUGUGCAGAAAGUUAAUAACGGCUAGUUUUCAACAGCAGCUAUAAAUAAGCUCAUUCAAAUUCAAACAAAAGCUUAUCACAACACGACUACUGAGCAUAUAAUUGAGAGUACAAUCUUCAUUGAGCUAUUAAAAUACAUUCUUGCUUCAUCUAUCUAUAUAUUGGGUAUCAUUGUGUAAUUUUAUAUAUUGUGAGAGGCAAAACAAUUUGUAAUCUUUUACUUUGAGUGAUUGUAAGUGUUGGGAUACACUUGGGUUAAGAGAUUGGGGAUAAUCUCUUGUUGUAAAGGUUUAUUGACACCUUGGAAGUCAAGUGUAAGCAUUUGAAGCCUUGGAGGCUUGCUUAGUGGAAUCCUCAAGCCUGGAAAGCUUGGAGGCAUGGACGUAGGCGAGGUUGGCCGAACCACGUAAAAAUCUCUGUGUUUGAAUCCCUCUUCCCUUAUCUUUUUAUAUUGUGAUCAACUUAAUUGUUAUUGCUUUAAAUUUGGAUUAUAUUUGCAUUAAGUUUUUCUUUAUAAAUUGAAUAAUUUUUAGAAUCCCAAUUCACCCCCCUCUUGGGUUGCAUACUUGUAUUUCAAGGACAUGUGAAGGUAGUCUUCUCCUGAUCCUCAGGCGCAACUGGUAUCUGAUGAAAACCUAAAUAGCUAUUAAGACAACAAAAGUGAGAUUUUCCUGCUAACCUUUCAAGCAUCUGAUCAAUAAAAGGAAUAGGAAAAUGAUCCUUUCUAGUAAGUGAAUUAAGCUUUCUAAAAUCAAUACAAACCCUCCACCCAUUCUGAACUCGGGUAGGUACUAACUCACCAUAAGAAUUCUCAAUAAUUGUUAUAUCAGUUUUCUUCGGUACUACUUGUACCAGACUUACCCAUUUGCUAUCCGAAAUUGGAUAGAUUAUACCUGCAUCAAGAAGUUUUAGAAUUUCUUUCUUCACUACUUCCAUUAUGAGUGGAUUCAAACGGAGUUGAGCUUGAAUUGAAGGUUUGGCAUCUUCCUUCAGCAGUAUUCUAUGCAUGCACGUAGACGGACUUAUCCUUUUAAUAUCUGCAAUUGUCCACCCAAUAGCCUUUUUGUAAUCCUUCAGCACUCUAAUAAGUUUCUCUUCCUCUAAAGUACUAAGCUUUGAAGAGAUGAUCACCGGAAGUGUCUCAUCCUCUCCUAGAAACAUGUACUUUAGAUAACUCGGCAAUGGUUUAAGCUUUAUUUUCGGUGCCUACAAAAUAGAUGGAAGAAGUUUUGCAUGAGAUGAAGGUAAUUCAAUAUUAGACAUAUGAUGAGUUAAAGUUCUCAAAGAAUUUAAUUCAUAAAUUGUCUCUUGCAAUAAAAUUUAAAACAAACUCAUUUUCAUCCUUUUGCAAUCUUUCGAGGCCCAAACUGUUAUUUAAAGCAGCUACCAAUGAAUCUUCAACAUUCAAAUAAAAAACUUCCUGCACUAUAGGGUUAAUAACAUCCAUAGAAAAUACCGAAUAUUCCUCACUGGGAUAUUUCAGGGCAUCAUACAUAUUGAAUUCUAUAACCUCUCCAUCAAACUCCAUAGUAAAAGUCCCUUUAUGUAUAUCCAUUUUAGUUCUAGCAGUCUUAAGAAAAGGUUUUCCUAGCAAAAUUGGGACAUAAUUAGAGGAGUUAUCCUGUUCCAUAUCAAGUACAUAAAAAUCAGCAGGAAAAACCAACUUAUUAACUUGUACUAAGACAUCCUCUAAUACCCCAUCACCAUAUGUAGUAGACCUAUCAGCUAGUUGAAUUAUCACGCCAAUUUCUUUUAAUGCACCAACAUUUAAAGAUGAAUAAAUAGAAUGAGGCAUGACAUUAAUAGAAGCUCCUAGAUCUAACAUAGCCUUUUCAACUCUAACACUACCAAUUUUGCAAGGAAUAGUAAACAUACCUGGAUCCUUGCACUUAGGAGGUAGUUUCUUUUAGAGAACUGCGGAAACAUUCACUCCCAUGUGAACUCUUUCAUCUCCUCUUAAUUUUCUCUUGGAGGUGCAUAGUUCCUUAAGGAAUUUAGCAUAUCGAGGUAUUUGUUUUAUAGCAUCUAAUAAGGGAAUAUUUACCUCAACCUUGCGAAAUGUCUCAAGGUUGUCUUUCUCUUGUUCCUCCUUCUUGGAUUUUGCAAACCGACUUGGAAAAGGAGGAGGUAUCACAAUAGGUAGGGGUUUCGCUCUGGUGGGUUGCGCAUCUUGAGAUUUAGGCAUCAAUUCAUUCUUCUCAAGCUCAUCUUCUACAUGCUUUGUCACUUUCUUACUAGGCUCUUGCAACUCCUUCCUACUUCUAAGGAUGAUGGCACUAGCAUUUUACUUUGGAUUCACCUCAGAUUGUGAAAGCAACCUCCCUGAUACUUGAGACUCUAGACGGCUCAUCGUAGUUGCCAAUUGACUCACUUGGCUCUCCAAAUUCUGAAUGCUUGUUGUGGUUGGCUACUGAAAUUGUUGAGCGUUAGUCGCAAGUGAUUUAACAAUUUCUUCAAGAGAUAUACCUGACUUGGAGUUUGAUUGUGGAGGUGCUGGUUGUCUUGGUGGAUAUUGUUGUAGGAAUCCUGACGGCCUAACUCCAUAGCUGAAGUUGGGGUGAUCCUUCCAUCCCGGAUUGUAUGUUUGUGCAUGAGGAUCAUACCUCCUCUGAGGCAUGCCUGGAAAUCCUCCAACUGCAUUGGCUUGUUCAACGGGUUCUUCUUGAAGUGUAGGAUACAUAUCAGUUGAAUGACCUAUAUUGGAACAAAUGCCACAAGUCUUUACCUGUUGCACAUUACCUAAAACAAACUUUUCCAUAAGAGAAGUAAGUUUAUCUAAACGUUGUUCAACAGAAGAAAUAUUUACCUCAUUCACCAUUCUUGAAGUGGCGUCUUGCCUGCUGCCAAAUGAUUGUGCAUUGGCAGCCAUAUUUGAGAUCAACUCCCUUACUUGAGUUAGAGUCUUGUUCACCAACACACCUCCACUAGCAGUAUCUAUCAUACUCCUAUUCAUUAAUGACAGUCCUUCGUAAAAAUAUUGAAUAAGAAGUUGAUCAGAAAUCUAAUACUGAGGACAGCUGGCACACAAUUGUUUGAAUCGCUCCCAAUACUCAUACAAAGUCUCCCCAGGAAGUUGUCUAAUCCCACAAAUAUCUUUUCUGAUGUUGGCAACUCUUGAAGCAGGAAAGUACUUCUCGAGGAACUGCUUCUUCAAACCAUUCCAUGUUGUAAUCGAUCCAGGAGGCAAGUAGUACAACCAGUCUUUAGCUAGUCCAUCUAAAGAGAAAGGAAAAGCACGCAACUUAAUCUGCUCUUCAGUCACGCCUUGUGGUCUCAUACUUGAACAUACAACAUGAAACUCCUCGAGAUGUUUAUGAGGAUCUUCACUUGCAAAACCAUGAAACUUGGGUAAUAAAUGAAUAAGACCAGACUUUAAUUCAAAAUUUACCUCCAAAUCUACAUAUUGAAUGUAGAGUGGUUGCUGAUUCAAGUCUAGUUCAGCUAACUCUCUAAGAGUUCUUUCUACAGGUGCAGCUCUAUCCAUCACUUGUUCUUCUGAAUCGCUAGAUGAUUAAACAAAAUCAGGCACCGUAUCUGUUUCAGAAAGCAAAGGUGACGAGGAUCGUUGCUUAGCUCGCUUCGUCUGCUGUCUCAGCUGGCUAGCUGUCUUCUCAAUUUGAGGAUCAAACGAAAGUGUACCUGUACGAGAAGAACGAACCAUACACUAAGUAAAACGUAAAAAGGAUUAAAUAAAUUACACCAAUCUCUGGCAACGGCGCCAAAAUUUGAUGGUUGUCGAAGCCAACAAAAAUAAAUACCUACUCUAAAUAAAUUGUGUAUAGUGAUUGAGCAGGGUCGUGUCCACAGAGAUCGGUAAUUAUUUAAAUCCUUUGAAACGUAAAACGUAAAAUGGAGGAAUUGUUGACAUUAAUAAAAAUCAAAUUAAAAUAACAAGAAUGCAAAUUAAAGUUGUAAUUCAAAUUAGAGAAAGCUCUGGUUGAAGGAAUUAACUCAGCUUGAUUCGACUACUGAUCAUUAAUUCAAAUAUAGAUUAUUAUUACUUAUGAAUAGACCGGUUAUAGCUACUGAGACCCUCUAAUAGCCAAUCUCUCCUGAACUAGUCGAUAACCAAGGUAUGACCGUUGGUUAUUUCCCUAAUCAAUAGACAACCCCAGAUAUGAUCAUAGGAUUUAAUCAAUUGACAGCCUGAAAGACUAUAGAGACCCAAAUCCUAAUCAACACAUCCGAUGAUUCAUUUAAAUUAGAUUGUUUAUUCUCAUAACACAACUCACUGCUAUGUUAUUUGUCACAAACAUUAAAAUCUUCCUACGAUGAAUCCUUUAAUUGACAAUAGAUUAAAUUGAUAAUUAAAUAGUGGCCAAUUACGUAAUUAACAAACAUAAUCAUGAAAAUAAUUCAGAGAAUAAACAAAUACUCAAAAAGCAAUAAAACAAUUAAAGCAUAAGAAAGAACUCACAGUAGUGAUGAAUCAAAGCUUCAUUAUCCUUCAACCAGAAAAAUAGGUUUAGUUCUUCAUAGAGAGAAGAUAAAAGUUUAGAUCUAGGGUUUCUUUCUUUUUCUCCAAUCUCCCCUUUUUUUCACAAUAGAUUCCUCCCUUAAAUACUCUCUAUCUCUUCUCUUUUAUACUUCUAUUUAAAAUAAAAUACUAAUAUCUGAAAUAUUAAAUUCGUAAUUACACAAAUAACCAAAAAUACAAAACACGUUAAACUAAAAACUGCAGGUCCGCAGUUGACAGCAUGCGCCCACGCCUUAUCAAUAAAGUUCUUUUGACGCUCAUAAUUUCUCCAAGAAAAUAAUCAUCCUUAAACAUCAUCUUAUAGCUCAAUUUUAUCACCAAUCAAUAGAAUUGCAUCUGUAAAAGUAAAACACAAGUAAAUAACUAUUAUUAAGUGCAAAACAUCGAUAUUAAGGGAAGUAAACAAUGAAAACUAGUGCAUAAGUUGCACUCUAACAAAUUCCCCCACUCCAAGAUGAUGCUUGUCUUCAAGCAUAUAACUCAAGAUUAAUCCCAAAUCUCCACUCAAUUCUCAUCUCAACUCAUCCAAAAAUAAUUUUAAGUAAGCAUACCUCAAGAAAUUAAGUCGAUCAACAUUCGAGAGACAAGGAUUUUUAAAGCAUAGAAUCUCAUAAGAUAGAAUAAGAACAUUCAACCACCAAGAAGAUCCAUUCAAAAUUCAAGUGCAACAAGAUUUAAUAGCCCUCUCAAUGACUUCACUCCAUGCACUCAAAGUGUUUAGGGUAUCAUUUAUACACUCAAAUCAAAUCAAAGAAUGCUAUUACCAUAAGCUUGCUCAUAUAUCACAUCUCAAUCCACAAAAUAUGAAUAAAAUGAAAAAUCUAAGGGUCUUAAAAAGGUUGUAAUGGGGUUAAAUAGGUUAAAUGAAAAUGAAAGGUCUACGAAAGAAAAAGAGAUCAAAAUGAGAAUAAUGAACUCAUUGAAUGAACUUAUGAUAUUAAAAUGCUUAUUUCUAUUCAAGUCACCAAGAAUGUAAACAUUUUUUUUCGAUCUUUUUUUUUUCUUUUUCUUUUUCUUUUUUUUUUUUUUUUUUUUUUUUUUUUUUUUUUUUUCUUUUUUUUUCUUUUUCUUUUUCUUUUUUUCUUUUUUUUUGUUUUUUUUUUCGAAUCAAACAAAAGAAACGAACCUUGCACAAUUUAAUUCAAGCAUAAUGCUUGUUGAUCUAAUUGAGAAACUUUAAUACAAGGUAGAAAAAGCAACAAAAUAUAUCCACACAAUGAGUCCAAAAAUCUCCUUAAAUUGAGGCUCAAAAAGAAGAAAAAUGGUUAAGUAGACGGAGAGAAUUAGAUGGGUAAUGGUUAAGGCUCAAACAAAGAUAGCAAAUAAAGGUCUUCGGGUAGAGAAAAAAAAACGCGAGAAUAGAAAAAUGGAAAAGGGUUUGCCCUUAUCAUUUUAAUGCAUAAAAUGCCAUAAUGUGGCUUUAACAUGCAUAACAAAGCAAGUUCUAGAAUAAACAAACUAAGAUUGAUAUUCACAUAACAAAAAUAUUAGAGCAAAGUGGUUGCUCAUAGGCUCAAAUCCUCAUAAAGUUGGUAAAUUUGCCAUCAAAUCAUGUACACUCUUCAAAUGAAUCAACCAUCAAUAGUGGUAUAGAAUGAGAAGAAGGUAUAAGUGAUAUAUAAAAGGAAAGGUAAAAAUGAUAAGAAGUGAGAAAGAUGUAUGUAGUAAUAUGAAAAGUGAAAGAUAAAAUGUGAGUGAUGAUAGAGUAUGAUAGAAUAAAAAUAGAUGUAAAUAAUUUGAUAUAGAUGGGAAAAGAGUAGUGAGAAAGAAAAGAAAAGAAAAAAUAAUAUAUGAAGCAUACUAACUCCAAAAUCAUUUAAGGAUGAGUAGAGUGAAAAUACUACUUCCAGACAUCAAUAAUGCAAAAAUCCCUCCCCCACACCAAGAACUUACAUUGUCCCUAAUGUAAGAUAAUCAAAGCUCACAUAAAAAUUAAAGCGUAAGGAUAAAAGAUUAAAGACAAAAAAAACUUUCCUGAAUUGUGAGCUUUGAUCCACAUAACGUCCAUGGGCUUGGGGGAAAUGGUGGGAUAAAUCCCACACUCUCGAAGCAAUCAAUAAUGGUAUUAAUUCUUGAACCAGUGGAAAGCAAUUAAUUUUCUUCAUUUGUUUUCUUGCUUGGCUGUGAAACAGCCCAUUUGCGGCUGAACACAGAAUCUGUUUUUUGUUUCUUUGUUGUUUUUUGUGAAUAUUUGGCUUAAUUUACAAUUCAUGGCAUGUCUGAAAAUGGGUCGAUGAAUCUGUUAAAAAUUGGACUCAGAUCUAAAUCAGAUUUAUCCAUGAUACAAUCAAGAGGAUUCAACAUUUGAUUUUUAUUUUUCUUUUCGCCACCCCCGUAUGUAAUUUUGGUUGGAGGACUUGGUUGUUAGGAAUUGACAACUACUGAAUUUUUUUUUUCCUUUAAACAACAGAGGCCGCAAUUUCAAUUUGAAGACUUCGUUUAUAAGAAUUGACAAUGGUUGAUUCUUUAAAUAGAAGAUGCCUUGGAAUUCCGCGUCGUUGACAUGUAGUUGAUAUUUAAAACAUAUUGGAUGUUAGGGCUUAGAAUGUUUGAGGUCGGAAUUCUUAUUAAGAAAAUUCCUCUGCUGCUUGCAACAUAAUCGAAGCUGUAAGUCCUAUGCUAUGCAGUUCUCUUUAUUUUCAUUUUUGUUUUUGAAUUUUCAGAAUUAAUAUGAAGAAAAACAUCAUUUAUUUCCAAAACAGAACCAUUAUCAAGUUUCAUAUUUUUGUACAGGUAAACUUUGGUCUUUGAGAAAUAUUUGCGUCUACAACUCUUGAUUAAUUUUAGUUUUAGUUUAGUUUAGUUUUAUUUUUUUUCCCCUAAGGUGGAGAUGAGAUGAGAAACCUCAUUCACUAAAAACCAAAAACUUAGUUUUGUAAAGUUUUAUUUUUUUCCCCCUAAUGCUGGUGGUCUUCCAUUAGCUCUGAAGGUUCUGGGCUCAUUUUUGUUUGGUAGAACUAUAGCUGAACAGGAAAGUGCACUACAAUGACUACAAAGAGGUCCUGAAAGUGAGAUUCUUCAUGUACUUCAAAUAAGUUUUGAUGGGUCAAAAGAAAAAGAAAAAAGAAUAUUUCUCAAUAUUGCAUGUUUCUAUGAGGGAAGUAUAGAGAUUAUAAGGGUGUUCAGAAUCUAAUCCGAUCCGCUCAAUCCGAUCCGUAUAAAUCCGAUCUGUGGAUUGGUGGAUUGGAUAUGGAUUGAAAAUUUAAAAAUCCGCAGUCGAUGGAUUGGAUAUGGAUUUACUUAUGUAAAUCCGCAAAAAUACGUGAAUCCGUCAAUAUAUAUAUAUAUAUAUAUAAUUUAAUUUAAAAAAUUAUAAAUGUGAGAUUACAUAGUUACAUAAGCACUAUAACAUAUCUUAGCCAUUACCUAAUAAUAAUAUAAAAUGAAAAAUAAUUAAAUAAUCAAAUACACAAAUAUAACUUGUAAAAAUUGUAAAACAAAAUAAAAACAAAGUCACAUGUACUAGCAAAAGUAAAGUAACAUAACGCCAAGUCACCAACAAUUUGCAAAGUCACCCAAAAACAAAAUAAUAUGACGCCAAGUCACUAACAAUUUGCAAAGUCACCCAAAAAUAAAGUAACAUGACGCCAAGUCAUCAACAAUUUGCAAACAAAAAACCCUAAGCUUCCAUGCCGUCACACACACUAGCAACACUCAAUACUGGUUGGAUAUACUCUCGACACAGAUUUGAAGGACAUCGGCCGCGCGAUUCCGGCAAGAGCAAGCCAUCUUCUUUCCCAAGUCCAUCGAGCCACUUCACAUUCACUGGUUCCAGCUGAACAAUUGCACUAUCACAACCUUCAAGAUCGCCACCCGUACAGCUUCUCCUGGUUCCCAUCAUGGACGGCUCCGUAAUCACCACUUUUCGACAAGCGCAUCAGCCCUGGUAAAGGAUCAGAUUGUGUUUGGUUUCUAAAACUUCGCCAUUUCAAUUAAUUGUGGCUUUAUUUGAAUAAUUAAUUUCGGUGUUAUAUUAACAUAUUAUUGUAACUUUAUUUGAACAAUUAAGCUUGGUGUGUUAUAUUUUGAAACUUUGAACGUGUUGUUGUAGCUUUAUUUGAAUAAUUAGUCUCGAUAUGUUAUAUUUUAAAAUUUUAAAUGUAUUAUUUUAGGUUUAUUUAAACAAUUAAUUUAUUUAAAUUUUAUUCAAUUUUAAAUUUAAUUGGUAGCAAAAUUAUUUUUAUAUUAGUUUUUUUUAUUUCAUUAGUUGGAGAGAACUAAAAAUUUUUAAUUCGAAAACUAAUGCACAAAAUGAUGGAUUGAAUAUGGAUUGAGUCAAAUCUGUAUUCAAUCCGUAGACGUGUGGAUUGGAUAUGAAUUGAGUCAAAUCCGCAUCUGAUCUGCAGAUAUAUGGAUUAGAUUUGGAUUGAAUUUUAUCAAUCCAUGGAUUGGAUUGGAUUGAAAAAUUAUAAUUCACAAAAUGAUGGAUCGGAUAUGGAUCAAUGUCCAAUCUGUAAAAUCCGAUCCGCGAACAGCCCUAAGAGAUUAUGUGAAAAAAAAUCUCAAAUAUUGUGAUUUUGACCCAAUUAUCAAAAUUGUUGGUCCUAUUGAAAAACCUCUAUUAACCGUAGAUGAUUUCAGCGGACUGUGGAU
rnacentral:lncRNA from 1 species